rnacentral:misc_RNA from 1 species
AAAAAUGUUAUAGGAUAUAUAUUAUAUAUAAUUUUGAAUGGUAUGAAAGAGAGUAUUGGUAGAGAUGUAUAUCGUGGAAAUAUAGUGGGAUGGAUAAGAAGUUUUUUUGAAUUUUUAAUUUUUUGGAGAUUUAAGAUGUUAGAGAAUAGGAAAGAAGUAAAAUUAUUAAGAGUUGUGUAUGAUAUGUGUUUUGUAAUAUUUUU